GAAUUAUUCCCAGAGGAACCACAGAAACUCUCUCUCUCUCUCUCUCGCGCACACACACACACACACUCUCUCUCUCUCUCUCUCUCUCUCUCGCACACACACACACACUCUCUCUCUCUCGCGCACACACACACACUCUCUCACUCUCUCUCUCGCACACACACACACACUCUCUCUCUCUCGCGCACACACACACACUCUCUCACUCUCUCUCUCGCACACACACACACACUCUCUCUCUCUCGCGCACACACACACACUCUCUCACUCUCUCUCUCGCACACACACACACACUCUCUCUCUCUCGCGCACACACACACACUCUCUCACUCUCUCUCUCGCACACACACACACACUCUCUCUCUCUCGCGCACACACACACACUCUCUCACUCUCUCUCUCGCACACACACACACACUCUCUCUCUCUCGCGCACACACACACACUCUCUCACUCUCUCUCUCGCACACACACACACACUCUCUCUCUCUCGCGCACACACACACACUCUCUCACUCUCUCUCUCGCACACACACACACACUCUCUCUCUCUCGCGCACACACACACACUCUCUCACUCUCUCUCUCGCACACACACACACACUCUCUCUCUCUCGCGCACACACACACACUCUCUCACUCUCUCUCUCGCACACACACACACACUCUCUCUCUCUCGCGCACACACACACACUCUCUCACUCUCUCUCUCGCACACACACACACACUCUCUCUCUCUCGCGCACACACACACACUCUCUCACUCUCUCUCUCGCACACACACACACACUCUCUCUCUCUCGCGCACACACACACACUCUCUCACUCUCUCUCUCGCACACACACACACACUCUCUCUCUCUCGCGCACACACACACACUCUCUCACUCUCUCUCUCGCACACACACACACACUCUCUCUCUCUCGCGCACACACACACACUCUCUCACUCUCUCUCUCGCACACACACACACACUCUCUCUCUCUCGCGCACACACACACACUCUCUCACUCUCUCUCUCGCACACACACACACACUCUCUCUCUCUCGCGCACACACACACACUCUCUCACUCUCUCUCUCGCACACACACACACACUCUCUCUCUCUCGCGCACACACACACACUCUCUCACUCUCUCUCUCGCACACACACACACACUCUCUCUCUCUCGCGCACACACACACACUCUCUCACUCUCUCUCUCGCACACACACACACACUCUCUCUCUCUCGCGCACACACACACACUCUCUCACUCUCUCUCUCGCACACACACACACACUCUCUCUCUCUCGCGCACACACACACACUCUCUCACUCUCUCUCUCGCACACACACACACACUCUCUCUCUCUCGCGCACACACACACACUCUCUCACUCUCUCUCUCUCACACACACACACACACACUCUCACACACACACACACACACACACUUUCUCAUGCCGGUUGAUGAACUAGUUUAGAGUCUUGAGAU
rnacentral:lncRNA from 1 species